rnacentral:lncRNA from 1 species
GCUCUCUGUGAUUGGUUGUUAUAUCUUUUAUAUAUUUUUCUUCUGGAAAGUAUUAUGAAUGAAGUUUCAUGCAAGCACAAAUUUGUCCUUAAAUGUAUAGUAUGAAGGGCCGGAAAUAUUUUUUUUAUGUUGCUCAAAGUUAGGGAAAUUUUUCUGCGAAAUCGUCAGGUAUCGUGAAAAACCCUAAAAUUCACCAAGAAAAGCCAUGGGACCAUAUAUAUUUGAGUGCGGUAAAAUCGCAAAUAGAUAUCGAGCUUCAAUUAGACAACAGCAGUUUUUCCAUAAUUAGUUUAUUAAAAGCGCCUUUUAAGGAGAUAAUUGCUAAAAAUAGCAUUGCCGGCAAUGGGGCCACCAUUUAGUACUUUAUAUCCUUAAUAGUGCAGCUUAACUUCAAAAUUCAUGAUUAGAAGCAUUGGAAAUGAAAGUAUCCAAGAUAGC